CACGUAGGGGGCGAGCGUUGUCCGGAUUUAUUGGGCGUAAAGAGCUCGUAGGCGGUUUCGUAAGUCGGAUGUGAAAACUCCAGGCUCAACUUGGAGACGCCAUUCGAUACUGCGAUGACUUGAGUCCGGUAGGGGAGUGUGGAAUUCCUGGUGUAGCGGUGAAAUGCGCAGAUAUCGGGAAGAACACCCGUGGCGAAGGCGGUUCUCUGGGACGGUACUGACGCUGAGACGCGAAAGCGUGGGGAGCGAACAGG
rnacentral:rRNA from 1 species